ACGACCUUACUUGAACAGGAUCUGUUCUAUAGGAAGUACCUCUGUGUCCUUGAUUUCUAAAGGAGACAUGCCCUAUAACCCUGGUUGAUGAAUUAUGGCUGUGCGAUCUGAGUGUGAUUAACGGUUAAGAUUGUCUUCGGGCUCUCCGCACUGUAGAAGAUCGCUACCUAGUCUGGUCUUGACCCUUGCUAGGGUGGUUGCACGGUAGUCUGACAGGUC
rfam:Brassica oleracea var. oleracea cultivar TO1000 chromosome C8, whole genome shotgun sequence